rnacentral:rRNA from 1 species
UGCAGUCGAACGUGAUCCGCCCUUCGGGGUGGUGAAAGUGGCGCACGGGUGAGUAACGCGUGGAUAAUCUGCCCGAGGAUUUGGGAUAACAUCUCGAAAGGGGUGCUAAUACCGAAUAAGCCCACGGGGUCUACGGAUCUUGCGGGA